UACGUAGGGGGCAAGCGUUGUCCGGAUUUAUUGGGCGUAAAGAGCUCGUAGGCGGCUUGUCGCGUCGUCUGUGAAAUCCCGCGGCUCAACCGCGGGUCUGCAGUCGAUACGGGCAGGCUAGAGUUCGGUAGGGGAGACUGGAAUUCCUGGUGUAGCGGUGAAAUGCGCAGAUAUCAGGAGGAACACCGGUGGCGAAGGCGGGUCUCUGGGCCGAUACUGACGCUGAGGAGCGAAAGCGUGGGGAGCGAACAGG
rnacentral:rRNA from 1 species